rnacentral:tRNA from 1 species
GCCUUGGUGGCUCAGUCGGUUGAGCGUCUGACUUUGGCUCAGGUCAUGGACUCGCAGUUUGUGGGUUUGAGACCCGUGUCAGGCU